AGAACAGUUUCGUUUUGGUAUUUAACAUUCUGUCCUGUUCUUUUUGAAAUUUCAAUCUCAAACAUAAUCCGACGCCGGAGUUCUCUGCCAUCACCCGGGGCCGACCGGCCCCUGCUGUGGCUCUGGCAGCCUGUGGAGAAACUACAUUGGUUUUCUGCUGCUCCAUAACAAGUUACCAGAAACCCAGUGGCUGAAGAUAACAUGCGUUGAUUAUUUCAGCUUCUGUGGGGCAGGUCCUGGAUGGUGGGAGACGUGGCUCUGUUCCUUCUGUUCCUUCUCCCAACCCUCAUCAAAGACCAUCCACCGCACAGCUUCCAGAUGUUCCCGCUCCAGGGAGAGGGUUUUGGGGAAAUGUAAGGGCAGGUUACCAAAUCUGUUGGCCAAGCAGAUGCCCAUACAGAAGGUGAAAUCUCAGGCUCCCCUUUUUGAAGGAGGUGACUGGAGCCAACUAUUGGAGGAUCUGUGAAAUUACAGUUUUCAGCUUUGGCCUUGGCUGUGCAAUUCUGGGACAAUGGGAAAAUUUUCACUAAGCAUCAGUGCCUGGCAGAUAGUUAUAGUUAGUGCUCAGUAAAUGCUAACUGACAUUCUUGCUCACAACUCAACCCAAAUAGUCCUAUGUUUAGAAGCAAGGCAGAAGAUCAGAGUAGACCAAGAGCAGGGCUGAGGACGACAAGCCCUGGGACUCCCUUCAGUUCUUCCAGGCCAGGAAUGUGCUUGUUCUCCAAGCCCGGGUUCAGCGUGAGUUCACGCGAGAGCAGGACAAAGGCCUGAUGCAGACAAACGAGGUAAACUUGGAAGCCAUAAGGUUGAAGACGGCGGAGCUAAAACAAGAAAGGAGGCUGGAUCCCUGAGUCACCUUGUGGAAGGCUGCCUGCCUACCAGGAAUGCUACAUUUAACAUGGGGUAUGACUUAUGUGGGUCCUCUCCUUGGGUCUCACAAGGCUGACAUGUGAGUGAGAAACAGAUUUUUAUUGUGUUAAGACAUUGAAGGUAUGGGAUAUGUUUCUUACAUCAGUUGAUAUCGCCUUAACCAAUAUACCAGUUUGCACUGUGAAUGAGAAAAUGAGUCUGCAUCCACAAUGUCCAUGCUUUAAGAGCUUCUAGGAGUUUUAGGAGUUUAUUUGCCAUGCUCUAUAAAGUCUGCACAAUGUUUUAAUUCCACUUCACAGAAAGGUUUUCUUUCCAAACCCUCUUCAGGGGCCUUCCCUAUUAAAAAAGCCCAUUUAUAGAAACUACUACUUAGCAUUUUUGGAACUUGUUAUCCUAUUCAGCAGAGUCUAAGUCAGGAGGCUUUGAACUCGGACAAUUACUGCUCUUGAUUAACAACAAGAACUGAUGAGUUGGCCUUUCUAGUGUGCUAAGCAAACUCAGCCAAGCAGAAAAUAUCACUGAAGGGGAAACAACGGGAAGUGAUUUUCUUGGUUGCAUUAUGCGCCGUCGCGAUAUUUACACAUGUUUGUGGAUAAUGUGGGAACCUCUGCUGCUUGCAUGCCCUUCCAGAUGACACCACUGGGCUUGAAACGCCAUGUUUCCCACCUGACCUGGGCUGUAAAUGUCAUCCUGUGACUGCAGGCAGCCAGCCCCAGGGAAAAACCACAGCACUGGGAGUGGUCAGGCCCCUUGCAGGAUCCCCACUCCAACCCUUUCAAGUUCUAGCCCCUCCAGGUACCCUGGGGCCAGCACCUAGGCCUAGAGAUUUGUUUGUUUGUUUGUUUUUUAGAGAUAGGGUCUUGCUAUGUUGCCCUGGCUGAUCUGAAACUCUGGGCCUCAAGCAGUCCACUCACCUUAGCCUCCUGAGUAGCUGGGAUCACAGGCAUGAACCACCCAACCCAGCUGGGGUUAGAGAGUAACAGCAGCCUUGGCCUCAUAUUGUAAGACAGCUCAGUGGCCGGAUAGAUGGGUGUUCAUUUCUUCUCGCCCUCGCCAGCACUAGGUGUUUUUAAAAAAUGAUUUUUGUGAAGUCAAAUAGUGUUUUCAGUGUCGGAUUGAACAUUGUGCUCAUUUAUGAGUGUUCUGUGGAUACCUUUACCCAUGUCUCUAUUGAGGGUGGUAGGAUUUUUCAUAAAAUUGCAUGCACAUUUUUCAUGUAUUAAAGGCAUUAUGCCUUUUCACAUUCUUUAGAUUUUUCCAACUUCUUUAUCUUUGUAUUUUGUUAAAUGUUUUUGGAUACAUAAAACUAAAAAAAGAAAAUCAUAAGAUUAAAUAUUUCAAUCUUGUCCUUUGAGACUUUUCCAUCUUUUUAAGCUUAUAAAGUCAUAUUUCAUAUGGAAGUUUGAAAUAUAUUCAUCUAUAACCCCAUUCAUUCUAUUUAAAACUUUUUAAAGAAACUCUUGGCUCCACUAGGAAUUUUUUUGGAUGGAAGGUAUGAGGUAAGGAUCUUCCUGGGGGCCACAUUUGGGAGUUCAGAUCUGAGGGGCAGAAGCCUCUGGCUUUGGACAAACAGGGGCAGGUGUCACUGGGGUUAGGGGUGGCAUAGCACGGGCAGAGGUAGUGUUGAUGGGUGAAGAGCAGGUCCCAGCUGGGACUGCUCUCAGGAUCUGGGGGUCUCCUUCUUCUCAAAUGGUGUCAUGGACUAAAUUGUGUCACCCCCACAUUUAUAUGUUGAAGUCCUAACCCUCAGUACCUUAGAAUGUGACUGUAUUUGGAGACUGGGUCUUUGAGAGGUAAUGAAGUUAAAAUGAGGUCUUUAGGGUGGGCCCUAAUCCAGGGUGACUGAUGCCUGUGUAAGAAGAGAUUAGGACACAGACGCAUCCAGAGGGAAGGAGGUGUGAAGACACAGAGAGAAGGCUGAGAAGUAACCAACCCUGCCUGACACCUUCAUCUUGGACUUCCAGCCCCAGAAUUUCGAGAAAAUAAAUUGUUUCGGCCACCCAGUGUGUGUUCCUGUGCUCUGUACCCUAACAGACUCACACAGGCAGGUUCUUUGCUAAACGUCCUCAGAGCUGGUCUGUAGUGGAGCUUGCAGAGGCCCCCAUCACGAUCUGCU
rnacentral:lncRNA from 10 species